UAAUGCAAAUGAUCGCCGUGGUGAUUGGGGGAUGAACGGAGUACUCGUUUGUCCGCUCCUCGGAGGUGCGGAAUGCACAGAUCUCCCAGCGAUCGUAGUUCCGAUAGCCAUUCAUUUGGAGGAAAUUUAUUCAGGAGCGGCACGGCAUUUGCAUAAGUGAAAUCGUAUCUCACAGUUAGCAGCCUGUAUCGUAGCUUGAUUACUAAAAUACUAUUCUGAAUAAUCUGUACUAAGAACUAGUUAAGAUUGCGUUUUUAGGGUGAUAGCUCUCCUGAUGCUUGUGAUAAUAUUUAUGAUAAUUUCGCAACCUGAUCCCUCCUCGCACGGACUAAUUGAGUCCUCAUGUCCUGUCGGCAGGACGCCCCUGGCAUCCUAGCAACUCGGGGAAGGGAAGGCAAGGGAACGAGAAGGAGAGGUGAAGGAAGGGAACCCCCCGUUUGGUCAUGGGUGCCUACCUGUACCGCCCGCCCCCGCCCCCCUCGACGACCGCCUCCGCGGGAGGGCCGCCAAAACACGCGCGCCGCUGGAAGUGGAAAAUGGGAAACUGUUGCACGGCCGUUUUCUUUUGGCGCACACUCGCACACAGCCACACACACACAAACACACAGACAGACCGCAAUGGAAAAAUGGGAAAUUUUUUGCUGUGGUUGUUGUUGCGGCGGCAAUGGUGGUUGCUCGAUAUACCGAUAUAUACCUGCCCCGGCACCCUUAAAGGC